rnacentral:rRNA from 1 species
CAGGAUUAGAUACCCUGGUAGUNCACGCCGUAAACGAUGAGUGCUAGGUGUUAGGCCCUUUCCGGGGCUUAGUGCCGGAGCUAACGCAAUAAGCACUCCGCCUGGGGAGUACGACCGUAAGGUUGAAACUCAAAGGAAUUGACGGGGGCCCGCACAAGCGGUGGAGCAUGUGGUUUAAUUCGAAGCAACGCGAAGAACCUUACCAGGUCUUGACAUCCCGAUGCUAUUCUUAGAGAUAGGAAGUUACUUCGGUACAUCGGAGACAGGUGGUGCAUGGUUGUCGUCAGCUCGUGUCGUGAGAUGUUGGGUUNNNNNNCGCAACGAGCGCAACCCUUAUUGUUAGUUGCCAUCAUUAAGUUGGGCACUCUAGCGAGACUGCCGGUAAUAAACCGGAGGAAGGUGGGGAUGACGUCAAAUCAUCAUGCCCCUUAUGACCUGGGCUACACGCGUGCUACAAUGGUCGGUACAACGAGUUGCGAGCCGGUGACGGCAAGCUAAUCUCUGAAAGCCGAUCUCAGUUCGGAUUGGAGGCUGCAACUCGCCUCCAUGAAGUCGGAAUCGCUAGUAAUCGCGGAUCAGCACGCCGCGGUGAAUACGUUCCCGGGCCU